rnacentral:lncRNA from 1 species
CUGCUCAGCGCUACCGCUUCCCCGCAACUGUGCGGAGUGGGAGCCGGUGCCCGGUCCGACCGGCUUGGGCGGCGCGCCUUCACCCGGCGCCAGGUCCGGACCCCUCCCUAGUAGCUUCGCGGCCUCCCUGCCUCCUGUGCGCGGCCUGGCUCGGAGAGGUCGGGCGGGCAGGCUUUCCCGACUGCAGGCGAGGCAGUGCGCGGCUCACC